rnacentral:tRNA from 1 species
GGCGCCAUCGUCUAGUGGCCUAGGACGCCAGGUUUUCAUCCUGGAAAUCGCGGGUUCGACUCCCGCUGGCGCUACCA